AGUGAACGCUGGCGGUAUGCCUAACACAUGCAAGUCGAACGGCAGCACAGUAAGAGCUUGCUCUUACCGGUGGCGAGUGGCGGACGGGUGAGAAAUACAUCUGUAUCUACUUGUUCGUGGGGGAGAACGUAGGGAAACUAACACUAAUACCGCUCACGACCUACGGGUGAAAGCAGGUGAUCUUCGGACCUUUCGCGUUGGAAUAAGCCGAUGUCGGAUUAGCUAGUUGUCGGGGUAAAGGCCUACCAAGGCGACGAUCCGUAGCUGGUCUGAGAGGAUGAACAGCCACACUGGAACUGAGACACGGUCCAGACUCCUACGGGAGGCAGCAGUGGGGAAUAUUGGACAAUGGGCGCAAGCCUGAUCCAGCAAUACCGCGUGGGUGAAGAAGGCCUUCGGGUUGUAAAGCACUUUUGUCGGGAAAGAAAAGCAGGAGGUUAAUACCGCCCUGUUCUGACGGUACCCAAAGAAUAAGCACCGGCUAACUUCGUG
rnacentral:rRNA from 1 species